rnacentral:lncRNA from 1 species
UGAAGUCUAAUCUGGUUGUUUCUAGGUUGCUUCUAGGUUGUUGCUAGGCUUUAGCUAGGUGAUGCUAGGUUGUUUCUAGGUUGCUUCU